AGGUGAUAGUUGAAACGUGUAUAGAUAAAGAAAGGAUGAAAUCGGUGAUAAUGACAUGUACCAAUAGAGUGGAAUAGUGGCUGCAAAGUGCAAAAACUGCAUAUUCUUUUGUGUCGUGUCGUACCGUAGCGUGUUCCAUUCGUGGCGUGCAGCGUGCGGCGCAUAUUCAUCGACCCAUCAAAUUUCAAGACUGACUUCCUCACUUCUCCUUCCUUUGACAACAAACAAUGGGUGUCGGAACUAGCACCUUCGUUACCAGAUGGAUCAACUUCCUCACCAUGGUUUUAGCCAUCGUUGUCAUAAUAUUUGGGGUGUGGAUGAGCAUGCAUCAUGAUGGGUGCAGAAAGUCUCUCACUUUACCUGUGUUAGCCCUUGGAGCAGUUAUUUUCUUAAUAUCCAUAGUCGGUUUUUUGGGCGCCCUGAAAAAUAACUCCAUACUGUUGUGGAUUUAUCUGAUCUUGCUGUUCUUUGUCUUGGUGGGAAUCUUGGUGUUCACUGUGUUGGUGUUCAUUGUGACUAAUGAUGGAUCAGGUCAUAGUGUGACUGGCUUGAGGUACAAGGAGUAUCAACUUCAAGAUUAUAGCUCUUGGUUUCUCAAAGAGUUGAACAAUUCUCACAACUGGGAGCGACUUAGGGUUUGUCUUGUUAAAUCUGAUGACUGCAAUAAACUAUCCAAAAAAUAUAAGACUCUCAAAGAAUAUAAAUUAGCUAAGUUGAGCCCUGUCGAGGCUGGUUGCUGCCGACCACCUUCCCAAUGUGGGUUUCCCGCUGUAAAUUCCUCCUACUAUGACUUGACAUUUCAUCCGGCUAGUGCUAACAAAGAUUGCAAGCGAUACAAAAAUUCCGGAGCUAUCAAAUGUUAUGACUGUGAUUCUUGCAAGUAAGCAUGUCCAGGGCUGGAGUGGCACAAUACAUGAAAAUUGAGUGGAGAGUUGUAGCAAUAUUCAAUGUUGUGCUAUUUGUUGUGUUGUGUAUUGUAUACUUUGUGGGAUGCUGUGCAAGACGAAAUGCUGCCAGGGGACAUUCUAAAGCGUGAAGACUUGAAUAUUAUCAUAUUAUGUUGUUGAUAUCUCCAAUAUUAUUCUUUUAGAGUAUAUACCCAUUUUGGUCCUCAAAGAAUUUCAGACUGGACACUUUAGUCCCCAACUAAAAUUAAUUACUCGAUUGGUCCCUAACAAUUAACUCUGUCAGUCACUUAGGUCCUUUACUCCGUUAAUUCUAACAGAGGACAAAAUAGUCCCUGACAACUCUAACAGGGGACAAAAUGGUCCCUGACCUCCUCUGUUCGGAAACGACACUGUUCUCUCCCAUUUCCAUCAUAUCUCGCAUAACACUAACAGUCUAACACUAUAACUUCAAACUACACAAUGCACACUCUAUAAAUUUAAUGUCCACAAGAAAAAAAAUUUUCAACUUAUUCUCAACCAAUUCAUACUCAGGAAACUAAUGCUUAUGUCUUUCAACUAGUUGUCGUCUUCGAUGGAUCCCAUGAAUCCAGACAACAAGUCUGAUUUGUUAACGUCUUCCAGCUUCUUCUUCGAACCAAUGUUCAGUAAUCGCUUCAGUUUCCAUAUGAGCGGCAACGGCGACAUUGCUCGUUGUAAUAGCUUGGAUGCGAGGUCGAAGCUGUCUGUCAACUUGGACUCUGGGAAAGAAGGAAUGAAGCAUUCGGUGUCUAUUUCAAAUGAGAAUUUGCAUAUGAUGUCGAAGGAGAAUCUUCUCAUGAUGUCCUAAUGUCUAACAGUCUAUAUUGCUUGCUGGAGAGUGGAGAAAGGCGUGCCCUUGGAAUAGUUGUGGAACUUGGUCUUGAGGAUGUCGCGGACGUUGUCAGGGUUGGAGGUGAUGUUAUCAAAGACGUGCAAGUGGAUGCUUUUGGUGGGUGAAGUGCAGAGGAGGUGGAUGUACCAGUCACAAAGAUUUAGGAAGUGUGUGGUCCAUGACAUGUUGAGGUAGGUGCGACACGUGUGACAAUUACACCAUGGCUUAAUCUUGGAGCUAAAGAGGAGGAAGGAAGAGAUGGAAAAGAAGAUUGUGAAGGUGAAGAAGGAGAGUAUGAAUGUUAGGAUUAUGCGAGAUAUGAUAAAAAUUGGGGAAGAACAGUGUCGUUUUCGAAUAAAGGGAUCAGGGAUCAUUUUGUCCCUUAUUAGAGUUGUCAGAGAUCAUUUUGUCCCAUGUUAAGAGUUUUCAGGGACCAUUUUGUCUUCCGUUAGAGUUGACGAAACCAAGGACCUAAGUGACUGACGGAAUUAAUUGUUAGGGACCAAUCGAGUAAUUAAUUUUAGUUGGGGACUAAAAUUUCUAGUUUGAAAUUCUUUGAGGACCAAAAUGGGUAUAUACUCUAUUAUUAUUGAAAUAUCUAUCAACUAUUCUCAA